rnacentral:rRNA from 1 species
UGGGGAAUUUUGGACAAUGGGCGCAAGCCUGAUCUAGCCAUGCCGCGUGUCUGAAGAAGGCCUUCGGGUUGUAAAGGACUUUUGUCAGGGAAGAAAAGGGCGGGGUUAAUACCCCUGUCUGAUGACGGUACCUGAAGAAUAAGCACCGGCUAACUACGUGCCAGCAGCCGCGGUAAUACGUAGGGUGCGAGCGUUAAUCGGAAUUACUGGGCGUAAAGCGGGCGCAGACGGUUACUUAAGCAGGAUGUGAAAUCCCCGGGCUCAACCUGGGAACUGCGUUCUGAACUGGGUGACUAGAGUGUGUCAGAGGGAGGUAGAAUUCCACGUGUAGCAGUGAAAUGCGUAGAGAUGUGGAGGAAUACCGAUGGCGAAGGCAGCCUCCUGGGAUAACACUGACGUUCAUGCCCGAAAGCGUGGGUAGCAAACA